UUCUAUGAUGGUGAAAGUGGCAGUGGUUACUUGGCAUGGAGGCUCCAAACCAUACAGAGGAAUAGUGCUUCAUCACAGAGCAAAAGGCCAUCACAUCAGCUGACUGGUGGAGGGCCGUCAGCUAGGAGAGAUGCUUCACCCUGAGUGAAGAGCAAUGCAAGGAGGCCAUAUCCUUCAUGAAGUUUUCAUCUGAUGAGGACACUAUCAAGCAGAAGAUGAAGAUGACAUUUGAAUAUCGUCGAUGUAUGGUCUACGACAAAGAGAAAUCCUCAGAUGUCUUGACUGAAUUUCCACGCUUCAAAGAUGUCAAAGGCCUGAUUGAGCAAGACUUCAUCUUGCAGUUUGGAGAAGAUGUAGCUGCCAAGUCUUUGGAGAGGUGGCCUACAACAUUCAAGAAAAGGGUCAUCCAGCAGAGUAAGGCUCUGAGAUCUGAUCUAUUGUGCAGAAGCUACAUCAGAUGAAGAGGAAAUGGAUAAUGACAUUAUUGCCUCUGGAUGGGACAGUGAUCUGUCUUCAAUCAUUCUCCUCCUCCACCUGAUUCCUCCAACAGCCCAGGGGCAGAAGAGGCCAGGCAAGGUGUCUGCAUCCCAAGCUGAGAAGCACCUUGUCGUGUUCAAGAAGAGUGGGACAAGCAUCCAGGAACACAUUGAUGAACAGCACCACUCAACCCUAUCUACUUGCUGUUGGCAUGAAGAGGAGCGCAAUCCAUGAGUUCUUCAUCGUUCUGGACAAGCAGGUCAUACCAUGCGACUCAACCACUUCUCUUGGAGCUUUUGAUGAACUUGUGAAGGCACACUUUGUAUUUGGGACUCUUUACAAUCAGAUGCUCCACAACAUGUACACCUUCAUACAGACAACUACAACUGUCUACAACAUCCAUUUGGGACAAGUCCAGGAGAGCCCACGUGUUGCUGAGAUUAGGGCUAGACUUCUGCAUUCUACAGGCUAGUUCAUGCAUACGCUGACAUGUUUUGGAUAUUGUGAGAUUUUCUUUGACCCAUUUCACCCAUUUUUAUAUCACACUUUAUCAUCUUACUUGAUAUCAUGGGGGUUAUUUGUUUUGUUUGCCAGAUUGAUUUUGUGAGCACCAACAGUCUUGUGAGGCAUAUGCGAUUAAUACAUGGUUUAUAUCAGGGUAAAUCACUUUGCUUAAAAUGUGCUCAGGCAGGAUGCUGCCAGGUUUUUGGCACAUUCUCAGGCUUUAGGAAGCAUCUAAAUACAAAGCAUGCUGACCAAAUUGAACUUGAAGUUGAAACUGACAUUGUAGUCAGUGAUGUUGCAGAUGAUGCUCAGUUGCCAAUUAGUGAAGAAGCUGCCAGUACGUCUCAAGUUCUGCCCGUAUCCAACACAAGUACUCAUGAUUUGUGUGCAUCUGCUGUUGCACAGCUUCAGGUUGCUGGUGUAAGCCAGUCUACUUUAAAUGGUUUUGUAUCAUCCAUGGAAGACGUGGUACUGGAGGUACAGAGUCAAGCUAAAGCUGCAGCUUUAAAAUGUUUAUCAUUACAGGAUACUAGUAUGAAAGCUAAAAUUGAACAAAGUUUAAAAAAACUUGAAAACCCUUUCACCUCAUUGAAUUCUGAAACAAAACAAGUAUUUUCAACAAAAAUGGAAAACUGUUGAACCUGUCGAAAAAGUACUUGGUGUCAGAUUUGAAAAUAGAAGAAACAGAUGUACUGGAAGUUAUGAUCAGAUUGUUGUAAGAGACAAAUUUGCCUAUGUCCCAAUUCUAGAAACACUGCAGUCUAUUCUCAGAAAUCCAAACUUUGCAGAUAUGUUAACAUCUAGCCACAUUCCCAAAGAUGAUGUAUAUUUUGAUUUACAAGAUGGGUUGUAUAUAAAGAGACAUCCCCUUUUUUCUAAUGAAAAUUUUGCACUGCAAAUUCAAUUAUUUUAUGAUGAUUUUGAGACUGCGAAUCCACUGGGAUCCAAAAAAGGUGAACAUAAAUUAGGGGCUGUAUAUUUUACAUUAAGAAAUUUCCCACCGAAAUUAAAUUUGUCUUUAGUCAAUAUACAUUUGUGUGCACUUUUUCAUGCGCAAGACAUUAAAACCUAUGGGUCUUUUUCUUCUAUUUUCAAAUCUGACACCAAGUACUUUUUCGACAGGUUCAACAGUUUUCCAUUUUUGUUGAAAAUACUUGUUUUGUUUCAGAAUUCAAUGAGGUGAAAGGGUUUUCAAGUUUUUUUAAACUUUGUUCAAUUUUAGCUUUCAUACUAGUAUCCUGUAAUGAUAAACAUUUUAAAGCUGCAGCUUUAGCUUGACUCUGUACCUCCAGUACCACGUCUUCCAUGGAUGAUACAAAACCAUUUAAGCAUCAUCAGCUUUUUAAGCGAUUGUUUCUUGCUAGAAAUCUCUUGCCUAAGCAUCAUUUCAUUAUACAUUAUCCUAAAUGUAUAAGGAAUAUUGGACCAAUUCUGCACGUGUGGUCUAUGCGCUACGAAGCAAAGCACAACGUUUUUAAGACCCAACUGAAAAGUUUCAAAAGUAUCACAAAGACAUUGGCCAAAAAGCACCAAAGAUACAUGGCCUUGUAUUGGGAAUCUUUUAGUAAGUGCAGAUUAACUGUUGGUCCAGGAAAGAUGUCACAACUUCAAGAAUUGAAACAGGGUCCUGAGCUUGCUGCCAAAUUAAACACUGCAAUAUCCACCACUGUUCUGACUGUGAAGUGGGUAAAACACUAUGGCACUGAAUAUCCUGCAAUCAGCAAAAUGAUCAGUGUGUUUCUGUGAUUUGGCGGUUAUAACUUAAAUUUUAACAAAGGGAUAACUAAUGGUGCAACAAUGCAUUGAUUUGUGCGAGCAAAAUGUCCCAAACAUCUGCCUGAUUAUCUUCAAGCACCAUAUUAAUAUCCUUUUUUUCACUCUGUUAGGUAACACAAAUUAAUAUUGCUAACACCUGGCUUGACUCCAAUACAACAACCUGCAAAGAGUUGAUUAAUGAGGCAAUUUAUAUCAUUAAGUUGGAUAAAAUGUAUUUUCCCCUGCAUUGCAAUUGCAAGAUUAUAUAGAGAGAUGGGGUCCUGUAGAUUAACAUA